UCUCCGUUGGUGAACCAGCGGAGGGAUCAUUACAGAGUUGCAAAACUCCCAAACCAUUGUGAACGUUACCUAUCCCGUUGCUUCGGCGGGCGGCCCGGGCCCCGCGCCCGGCGCCCCCCGGCCCCCCGUGGGCGCCCGCCGGAGGUAAACCAAACCCUUGAAUUGCAUGGCCUCUCUGAGUCUUCUGUUCUGAAUAAGUCAAAACUUUCAACAACGGAUCUCUUGGUUCUG
rnacentral:misc_RNA from 1 species